rnacentral:tRNA from 1 species
AUAAAUGAACUAAUUUAUAGGUUCAAUUUCGGCUUGAAAUUUUGAUAUUAAAAUAUCCAUUUAAU